GAUUGAAUAAAGACAGAAUACAUCAGUAUUGCCUUGUCAAUGGUUUUCCAUUUGGCAACAUGUGCUUUAUUAAUAGGUAGAUUUUGAAUGACUGCAACCUAUGCCCUAAGCCCCAUGGAAAGAUUUUAAAUGAUUCCACAGAGAAUGGCAACAUAAUGGAAAAACUGGAGUUAUGGGGGCUUAAGUUCAAAUCCAAUUGUACCAAAAAAAUAAAAAGAUAAGGCUAUUGGCCAAUCUUCU
rnacentral:misc_RNA from 1 species